rnacentral:miRNA from 1 species
GUAAGCAGGGGCUCUGGGUGA